CAAAGAUGGCAGGAAUAAGUACUUUUAACCUUUGUCAAGCAGGGUCACACUUACAGCUAGCAGCAACAAUGAAAAGACAUAGAAGACAGACCUGCCUACAAACAUCAGUCUGGCACUUCUCUCAAUCCUGAGCUUGCUGAAUCAUGAAAACUGCAUCCAAAAAAAAGUGAGGAACAAAAGUUGAGCUUCUCAGGCUCCAAGAUGCUGCACCUUCUAUCCUUGCCAAUUGUUGUAUCACUGGAGCAAAAAGGUGGCAGCCUUUCUCUGAACUGGAAUCAUUGCUGCAUACUCGGCUGUAUAAUUUGGUAUGCUUCACACACUGUUCUGUGAUCUGGCAACAAUCCUGAGUGCAAGCUAAUUUACACCUUCAGUAUAAUGGCUUUUGUAUCUUCUGCAAUGCUGGAAUAUAUUACAUGCUGCUGAAACAGAAGUCCAGCAAGUCACUGUCUGCCAUCACCUUGUAAAAAGAAUAAAGAACAGCUAUGAGAAA